UACGUAGGGUGCAAGCGUUGUCCGGAAUUAUUGGGCGUAAAGGGCUCGUAGGCGGUCCAUCGCGUCGGGAGUGAAAAGCUGGGGCUUAACCCCAGUCCUGCUUCCGAUACGGGUGGACUAGAGGUAGGUAGGGGAGAUCGGAAUUCCUGGUGUAGCGGUGAAAUGCGCAGAUAUCAAGUGGAACACCAGUGGCGAAGGCGAGUCCCUGGAAAACUCCUGACACUGAGGCACGAAAGCUAGGGGAGCAAACGGG
rnacentral:rRNA from 1 species